rnacentral:misc_RNA from 1 species
GAUGAAGAACGUAGAGAAAUGCGAUAAGUAGUGUGAAUUGCAGAAUUCAGUGAAUCAUCGAAUCUUUGAACGCACAUUGCGCCUGCCAGCACUCUGGCAGGCAUGCCUGUUCGAGCGUCAUUUCAACCAUCAAGCCCUAGGCUUGCGUUGGAGCCCUGCGGCUGCCGCAGGCCCCUAAAAGCAGUGGCGGGCUCGCUAUCACACCGAGUGCAGUAGAUUACUCUUCGCUCAGGGCGUGUGGCGGGUUCCAGCCGUGAAACCCCCUACUUCUCAAGGUUGACCUCGGAUCAGGUAGGAAUACCCGCUGAACUUAAGCAUAUCAAUAAGCGGAGGA